AGAUGGAAAGCCGUCCACACAACAAAAGACCUCUACGUGUAGCUGAUGAUAAUUGUUCCACACCACUAAAGCACUUCGAUUACCUUUUCUAUGUAGAUUUCGAGGCGUCAAUGGCUGAUCCAAAUGCUCAGAAUGCUCUGAGUAACUUAAAGCAAGAGUUUGUUACAUUCCUGAGAGUUCUUUGAAGCUAUCCUAGUGAUGUCAGUGAAACAUGAAUUUUCUGGCACCUGCUUCAGACGAUGUGCUUCUGAGUUGGUUGUCAAUAUUUGGCUCCGGAAGAGCAGCAUUUUUUCAAUGAGGAAGAGUUGCCAUUUUGUAACUCCACGAUUCGUUUCUGUCCACAUUAAAUCUUCCUGGGUGGCUUGUUGGCCACACUUCACAUGGUGAAGAAAAAGUCUUUCAGCACAAAGAAAAGAUUAUCAACUUCAGUAAGGAAAGAAACCGUAAUAUAGUAUCCAUUCAAGAGAAUACCAUGAAAUACAUUGGUGAUGGAAUACCAAUUGGUAUGUCUUAUGGUGGGUCUCCUGUGACCAAUACAGCAGGAACAUAUGCAGGAAUGGUGAAUAAUGAUAUGAUUGUAAUGCGUGGAACUAUAUCUGAUCAGAAUACUUUUGAAAAGAGGAACAGGAAAAAGUGUGAUGCAAAAGCAACAACAGAUGAGAGGAACAUGCCAGAGUUGGUUAUAGAUCAUUUCAUUGAAGCCUUCAACAAUAAGCAUCUCAGGAUCAACAGAUUCAAGAAACCAAACCAAUAAGUAAAAUCUCCCUGAUUUGGCCAAGUAUGAAUAUUGUUUUUAAAAUGACAUGUAAUUUCAAGAUUACUUCCUUUUUUUUCAUAAUG